GAUGAACGCUGGCGGCGUGCCUAAUACAUGCAAGUCGAGCGAACAGACGAGGAGCUUGCUCCUCUGACGUUAGCGGCGGACGGGUGAGUAACACGUGUAUAACCUACCUAUAAGACUGGGAUAACUUCGGGAAACCGGAGCUAAUACCGGAGAAUAUAUUGAACCGCAUGGUUCAAUAGUGAAAGACGGUUUUGCUGGCAGUUAUAGAUGGAUCCGCGCCGCAUUAGCUAGUUGGUAAGGUAACGGCUUAUCAAGGGAACGAUGCGUAGGCGACCGGAGAGGGUGGUAGGCCACCCUGGAACGGGGACACGCACCAGACUACUACGGGAGGCAGCAGUAGGGAAUCUUCCGCAAUGGGCGAAAGCAUGACGGAGCAACGCCGAGUGAGUGAUGAAGGUCUUCGGAUCGUAAAACUCUGUUAUUAGGGAAAAACAAAUGUGUAAGUAACUAUGCACGUCUUGACGGUACCUAAUCAGAAAGCAACGGCUAACUACGUG
rnacentral:rRNA from 1 species